CUCUCUCUGGAGCUUUUGAAGCACCAGAAUAAAUUCAAUAAGAUUGGUAGAGCAGACCAGUAAAACAUGACUAAGGCACAGAAGUAGAGAAACUGCUGAUGUUACACGGACUCAUUACUAGGAAGAGUUGGGACACAGAAAAUAAGAUCAAAGAAACAACCAACAUUUGAUCCAUUACUAAAUUUUAGGUUAGUACAAAAGAGUUGGGACACAGAAAAUAAGAUCAAAGAAACAACCAACAAUUGAUCCAUUACUAUAUUUUAGGUUAGUACAGUUUUACUAGACAGUAGCGAGAUACUUAACCAGAUGACGACUAAGUGGUAAGCCACUUACUUACAAAUUACAACAGCCAAAGUUUAACUUCAAAUUCUAUGAAGUCCUGAACUCUCGGAGUCUGAAAGAAAUUGGUAAAAACUACACCUGUAAACUACUUAGAUAAAUCAAAAUUUACACCAACCUGAUGACACCACAGUUAACCCCACAAAUUCAGCUUCUAAUCAAGAUAGAAACGGUGAUAACCCAUUACAAGGUCCAUAACCUAAUUCUCAUUUCUUGUCAAUGAAAACCACAAUUCUAAAUCAACUUAUGAGUUCUUGACCCUUCCAAGAUCAAACUUUACCCCAACUACACUCAACGAUGGACAUAUAAGGUAGUUUUGGGCUGUGAUAUUAAUCUGGUACAAAAUUAAAAACACCCUAAGAUUCGCAUUAGUAACAUACAUGUUCAAACGUACAAAUUUUUUUCAGAAAAUACACAUGUUCUUUUGCCAGUACAUGGCAAAAAGGAACUCACGAUCUAUCUCAAUUACCAAAAAACCAAAAAGGGAGUCAAGAUAUAUUAAUAUACACGAAGAAAAACUCAAAAUUUGUUCAAGAUUUGCCCCUAAAAAACUUAGAAUUACCUACAAUUUUUCCCUUGAAAAACUCAGAUUUGUCUAUAUUUUCCAAGAACAAAUCGGGAUUUAUCACCAAAAAUAUUUUCAAAUUAGUUUCUACAGGAGACCCAUCAACCCCAUCCCUACAUGAUAA